GUCCCUUCCAACCCUGAUAUUCUAUGAUUCUAACUUUAGUGUGAAGAGAAGGUCUUCAAUUAGACUUGCAUGUGUAUAUCUGAGAAAAUGGCCUGAUACUGCGUGGGAAUGGAAGCUUGCCAUGGAUUGGACCUGGAAUUUGGCCCGUGAUUAUGAUUUUGCUACAGAGCCAAAGGAAGAUGCACUUCACUGCAAUAGGGAGGGGAAAACAGAAAAAAGUGCAGUUUGUCCUGGCCGUUUUAUAUCCCUUACAUAUGCUCUGUAUCAGUCUUCAAGGUUAAAUGGACUAACUGGCUCUCAUUCUGAGGGAACCUAAUGGAUAUCUCUUGCUUUAAUUAAAUCUCUACUGUAUGUCAAAAAGAUUUCUCAAGUCUGGAAGCUGCUCUGAAAGCAAUUGAAGCAGCAUAAAAAUGUGAAUCUAACAAGACUCCAAACAACUUGAGAGAGAAUUUUCUACUGAUCAGUUUGUAAUUUAAAUCCUUAACUGAAGCCUGCAUAGUAGUUAAACUGGUUGAAGAGAGAGCUUGCUCCUUUUGCUCUUCAAAAAAG
rnacentral:lncRNA from 1 species